UGGGGGUUGGCUCAGUGGUAGAGUGCUUGCCUUGCAUGCAUGAGGCCUUGGUUUCGAUUCCUCAGCACCCAU
rnacentral:tRNA from 1 species